rnacentral:rRNA from 1 species
CAGCCGCCGCGGUAAUACGUAGGUGGCAAGCGUUGUCCGGAAUUAUUGGACGUAAAGGGCUCGCAGGCGGUUUCUUAAGUCUGAUGUGAAAGCCCCCGGCUCAACCGGGGAGGGUCAUUGGAAACUGGGAAACUUGAGUGCAGAAGAGGAGAGUGGAAUUCCACGUGUAGCGGUGAAAUGCGUAGAGAUGUGGAGGAACACCAGUGGCGAAGGCGACUCUCUGGUCUGUAACUGACGCUGAGGAGCGAAAGCGUGGGGAGCGAACAGGAUUAGAUACCCCAGUAGUCCCUGUCUCUUAUAA